CUUAGAUCGUACCCACACUUACUUGGAUAACUGUGGUAAUUCUAGAGCUAAUACAUGCAAACAGAGCUCCGACCGGAGACGGAAGGAGUGCUUUUAUUAGAUCAAAACCAAUCGGUGGCGGGUUCGCUCGUCAUCGUACAACUUGGUGACUCUGAAUAACUUUACGCUGAUCGCACGGUCCUAGCACCGGCGACGCAUCUUUCAAAUGUCUGCCUUAUCAACUGUCGAUGGUAGGUUCUGCGCCUACCAUGGUUGUAACGGGUAACGGGGAAUCAGGGUUCGAUUCCGGAGAGGGAGCCUGAGAAACGGCUACCACAUCCAAGGAAGGCAGCAGGCGCGCAAAUUACCCACUCCCGGCACGGGGAGGUAGUGACGAAAAAUAACGAUACGGGACUCAUCCGAGGCCCCGUAAUCGGAAUGAGUACACUCUAAACCCUUUAACGAGGAUCAAUUGGAGGGCAAGUCUGGUGCCAGCAGCCGCGGUAAUUCCAGCUCCAAUAGCGUAUAUUAAAGUUGUUGCGGUUAAAAAGCUCGUAGUCGAAUUUGUGUCUCGCGCCGCCGGUUCAUCGUCCGCGGUGUCAACUGGCGUUUCGCGAGACGUCCUGCCGGUGGGCCAAACUCGAAAGGGUGCGGCCCAACUCAAUCCUGCCGCGGUGCUCUUCGUUGAGUGUCGAGGUGGGCCGGCACGUUUACUUUGAACAAAUUAGAGUGCUUAAAGCAGGCUAAAAUUUCGCCUGAAUACUGUGUGCAUGGAAUAAUGGAAUAGGACCUCGGUUCUAUUUUGUUGGUUUUCGGAACCCCGAGGUAAUGAUUAAUAGGAACGGAUGGGGGCAUUCGUAUUGCGACGUUAGAGGUGAAAUUCUUGGAUCGUCGCAAGACGGACAGAAGCGAAAGCAUUUGCCAAAAACGCUUUCAUUGAUCAAGAACGAAAGUUAGAGGUUCGAAGGCGAUCAGAUACCGCCCUAGUUCUAACCAUAAACGAUGCCAGCUAGCGAUCCGCCGACGUUCCUCCGAUGACUCGGCGGGCAGCUUCCGGGAAACCAAAGCUUUUGGGUUCCGGGGGAAGUAUGGUUGCAAAGCUGAAACUUAAAGGAAUUGACGGAAGGGCACCACCAGGAGUGGAGCCUGCGGCUUAAUUUGACUCAACACGGGAAACCUCACCAGGCCCGGACACCGGAAGGAUUGACAGAUUGAGAGCUCUUUCUUGAUUCGGUGGGUGGUGGUGCAUGGCCGUUCUUAGUUGGUGGAGCGAUUUGUCUGGUUAAUUCCGAUAACGAACGAGACUCUAGCCUGUUAACUAGGCGUAUUUUGACAUCCUAAAGGCCGGCCGGCCGUCGGGGUUCGCUCCGUGCGGUCGCGCUCGGUUUUUACUGUCGGCGUACAAACAUUUCUUCUUAGAGGGACAGGCGGCUUCUAGCCGCACGAGAUUGAGCAAUAACAGGUCUGUGAUGCCCUUAGAUGUUCUGGGCCGCACGCGCGCUACACUGAAGGAAUCAGCGUGUCCUCCCUGGCCGAGCGGCCCGGGUAACCCGCUGAACCUCCUUCGUGCUAGG
rnacentral:rRNA from 1 species